GUAGGUGGCAAGCGUUGUCCGGAAGUAUUGGGCGUAAAGCGCGCGCAGGCGGUUCUUUAAGUCUGAUGUGAAAGCCCACGGGCUCAACCGUGGAGGGUCAUUGGAAACUGGAGAACUUGAGUACAGAAGAGGAAAGCGGAAUUCCACGUGUAGCGGUGAAAUGCGUAGAGAUGUGGAGGAACACCAGUGGCGAAGGCGGCUUUCUGGUCUGUAACUGACGCUGAGGCGCGAAAGCGUGGGGAGCAAACAGGAUUAGAUACCCUGGUAGUCCACGCCGUAAACGAUGAGUGCUAAGUGUUAGGGGGUUUCCGCCCCUUAGUGCUGCAGCUAACGCAUUAAGCACUCCGCCUGGGGAGUACGGCCGCAAAGGCUG
rnacentral:rRNA from 1 species